UACGGAGGGUGCAAGCGUUAAUCGGAAUUACUGGGCGUAAAGCGCGCGUAGGCGGUUGUCUAAGCUAGAUGUGAAAGCCCCGGGCUCAACCUGGGAACUGCAUUUAGAACUGGACGACUAGAGUACAGCAGAGGGGUGUGGAAUUUCAGGUGUAGCGGUGAAAUGCGUAGAGAUCUGAAGGAACAUCAGUGGCGAAGGCGACACCCUGGGUUGAUACUGACGCUGAGGUGCGAAAGCGUGGGGAGCAAACAGG
rnacentral:rRNA from 1 species